GAGGGCGGCGGGGAGCGCGUAGCGCGGAUCUGUUGCUCGCCGCUUCUCCGGGAAGGCGGCGUGAGCCGGCAGUCAGUAGAGGGCAAUAGAGAAAUACAGUUUGUGAUGCCUAAAGGAUUUGAAGCCCUGAUUAUGUGUUUACAGAAAAGAAAAAGAAGAAAAGAAGAGCCAGGAGGAUAGGUUGUUCAGUUUACUACCGGAGACCUGACUGUGACAGACCACCAAGAAAACAGAAUUUUCAAAGAGAGUAGAGAAGACCUUCUGCAGCAUCUGCAAGUCUGUCCUUUUUUCUUCAGAGUUACGUAGGAUAACUUAGCCAGAACUUAUUGAUGUCUGCAUGUUCAGUGGACUCGGGGAUGGACUGGGAGAUGCGGAAACGUACUCUUUGGAAGAAACAGGAGAGGAGGCAUUUCAAAGAUCCUGCAGGUGACAAAGGGAAGAAGGUGUUCAAACAAUUGGAAACUUUUCAAUCAAGAAUGUGGAGAUAAUAGGUUAAAUAGGGCUGAUAAUUCAUGGUGAUGAUCUGCUGACAGAAUAAAUAAAUCAUAGAAAGUGCCGAGACUGCACAGGCAUUUGCUGUGGUAUUCCUACAUGAGAAACCUUUGUCACAGUCUUUCUUCAAGUAUGUUCUCUCCUGGGGGUUCAUUAUUUUUCAGAGGAUGGGUCUUUCUGCCCUGCAGGGAUCUAUCUAUCACUGCUGACUCUCUGCAUCUUCUCCACAUGGAAGAAGUAAUUGGAUUGUAUUUUCUGCACACGACCAAGACAGCAGGGAAACCCACAGCUGUAAGCCAGAGAACCAAGCUGUCUAGAGAGCUGGGCCUGGGCCUCACCAGCAUGCCUAAUAAUGUCACCAGGACUAAGGACAUGAGGAGAAUGAGUUGUCUCAUACCCAGAAGUGAAACAUGCCAGUACAAAGAUAAAAACCAAAAGUGACUGGACCUCAGACAAAGGAGGAGAAGGGAAGUUGUUGAGGUCCCCACACAGAUGUCUGAUUAAAAGCCUACCAAAGUGCAUUUGAAACUGUGUCACAGCUCAGCCUCUUCUCCCCAGUGCCUGUGGAGGCAGCUUCCAGCAUGACACAUCCUAUCUUUGACUCAUCAGAAGACAUGCUUCAAUUCAGCUAGAAAACAGGAACUUAAGGAAAGAGCUUGAAAGUCUGUGGCAAGCCUAUAAGGACUGAUGUACAACACAAUUGUAAAGUUUAAUUCUAGACUGAAAAUCAAUGAAUAUACAAAGAUUCAUAUUUCUAAGAAAACAAAGACAUAAAUCUACAGCCAUUUUGACAAAUGAUGUGCAGAUUUCUCCUGGGGAACAUGCAAAGAAGGCCCACACCUACGGAAAGGCUGUCCCAAGAUUAUGUCACCUACAUGUAUCAUGAAGGAAUUUUCUUCUUGGCUGCUCAGAGGAGGAUUUUUAACAUUUGCCUUUCAUUUACUCCACAACAUUUCAUUUCUGAGUAACUUGUACUCCUUCACACCAUUUUAAUUUGAUGGCAUGUACGAGUAAUGCAGAGACUUUUCUUUCCUAAGGGAAAUUAAGAAAAUAAUUCAUUCUUUCGCUCAGUAACUCAACUGAAUUCAAUUUGGGUUCAUUCUUUUAGGAAAGGUGUUUACCUAAUUCUAUCAAUUAAAAUAUGGAAGGAAAAUGUCAAUAAUGCUGACCAUCUUGUCAUCACAAUUCUUAGUUCUUUCAUGCCAUGCUUCUUCCACAGAGACUUUAAUUUUGCCGAGGGAAAAGCUAACAUAAAGACUUAGAAGGCUUAAAUCACACAUCUAAUUUCUGCAUGUUACUAAAUACUAACACAUACUAUGUGCAUGGAACGAAACUUCAGGAAACCAGUUUUCACACUGAUUUGGUUUUUUGACCUCAUUUGUAAGGUUUUAAUUUUAUUUUGUUUUCUUACUUUUUUUUUUUGUUUUCUUACAUUUUAUUUUGUUUUCUUACAUUUUUUUUUACUUCGAUAUACAUUUGCCAGAUGAAUUGCAUGCACAGAAAAAGGUGUAACAAAAGGGCAGAAGUAUCAGCUGCUUUAUGUGCUUCUAAGAGACAGAGAAAGAACAUUAUUUGGAAAUUUCUGUGGCACAGGGCCGUGCUGGCAGCUGCUGAUCUCAUUCCUAUCCCUUACAUGCGGUUGUUAACACAAGGACGCAUGUGGGAAUGGCUGAGGACUGGAGAGGCCGUGACCAAAGUGAGUAUUGGUUCUCUUUUUCCUUGGUGUGGCUGCCUGUGUAGAAAACACCGAUCGGUAGGACAGCCUGAGAGAAGGCUGAAUGAAUUAAUGGAGGAGAGGACCCUCUCAGAGCUACUGAACACACAGAAAAUCAGCCUGGCUUGGGGUGUGUCUGGGCUGCAAGUGCUUUGCAGUAGUGAGGAAAGGCUGCUUGCAAUUCUCCGGUCUCACGCUCCUCGUUCCAGCAUCAGCUCUAGGGCGUUAGCAUUAGCUGUUCUUAUUUCAUUAUGCUUUUAUUUACUGUUGGCAGGAGAGGAGGGCUGGAAGCUGCCCAGCGUGCUGGCUGCAGCCACCGAGAGACCUCUCUUUCCCCAGGGCUGGCUGCAGCACAGAAUUGAUGGGUGCUGAGUAAAUGUGUUUCAUAUCCAGAACAAAUUUUCCUGAGUGCCUAAAUGGCUUGAAACUGCAGGUUCUGUUGGCCAAGAUCAAGUAACUUGUUUGGGAGAUUGCUUCCAGUUAGUUUUCUCUCUUUUUGUCUCUCUCUCUGUGUUUGUGCAUUUUCAAUUAUGUAUCAUUUAGCUCCACUUUGUUUUAUUUAAGCAGGCAAGGAACAGUGAGCUUCAAAACUGCAGGAUACCUUGAAAUCUUUUAACUUCAAACAUUCUGUCUCUGAUAGAAAAACAUGUAUUUCCUUUUUAAUUCUCAGUCAUGUUAACUGGUACUGGUGACUUUGUACCCACAAGCACAGAACACUAGAUGGAUAGACUGCAGCAAAACGAGUUACAUGUUGUAUUUAGAAACAAGUACCUUUAAAAAAUUUACCUGUCUGCUAAGACUUGGAAAAACGAGCAAGCAAGUUCAGCUCAGUACACAGAGCAGUUCCUCACUGCCUGACUCUCCUCAUGGCUUCUGGGAAUGCCUGGCAUGUCAGGUAACACACGCUGAGCAAGAGCCAAAAAGCCUUUCUUGCUUGUAAAAAUGAAACAAACACCUUGUUGGAAAACAGCUCUUUUCAGAGGCAUUGCAGCUGUGGAUGAUGCUGUAGCCACUCUUCUCAGCCAUCAGGCAGUGCCUACCAGGGACCAGCUUUCAGCAGUGUCAGUAGGUAAGCUGUAUAACAAGGAUAGGUCCAGCUGUCCUGUGCCAGCGCAUCCUACCUUUCUCCAUUGCACAAACAACACACACUAACAGCAAACAUUUGCAUGAAACAAGCAGUGAUGAAAUAUACCUAUUUAAUUGUUCACAGUCCACUAAAUCAAGAGAGCCCCACCCUGCACUGUUUUGACCUCCAGUUCUUUCCUGACUCAUCUGCAGCUCUGCUGUUUCAUGGUGGGAGAUCUUUCAGUUCUGGCUUUGCCCUGCCUGUAGCAUCUGGUGCUGUUCUCUCCUAGUGUGACUGCUCCUGGCUGCCCUUUUCUGAGGAAAAGAGAUGAUUUUUUGAGGCUGUGGUGAUCUGGUAUGGCAGGAGCUGUACAGUCUCGGAUAGGAGGUCUUGACUAGCAGAGCUUCCUGUCUGCUCAAGAGCUUGCAAGCUGAAUGCCUUUGUAACCUCCUCCUGGGCUUGGGGGUGGCAUCAGGUGCUGGGGCUCUUUCACACUGCAGAGCUUGUAACAUCUGGCUGAUGCCAUGGGUUAUAGCAAUAAAUGACACCACACACAACAAACAUCUCCAGGGCUUUCUCCAACUUCAGUCUCUAAUCUCUCAGGCUUCCUGUGCCCCGUAUCUGUCUAUAAUGCUUUCAAAAUGACAAUCCUAGUGAUUUUGACAUGAAGGAUUCAUGUGAAGCUGGUGCUGAGGCUGGUAAGAGGCUGCCCUGACCCUCUGGGCCUGGGAGUGUCACAUUCUCUCUGUGUAUGAACUGAAAGUGGAGAGGGUACAGAAGGGUCAGACAGACAUCCAUACGACCCUGCUUUCCUCUGUGUCAUGGGACUUUUGUGCACAAUUGGCAAUUACAGAUGUAGCCCUGAGACUCACACCAAGCUUCUGACCUGUUGUCAUACACUAUUUUAUGCAGUAUGUCAUAUCCAACAUGACUGUAAUGUCUUCUGUCUUACUCACAUCCAGCUCUGUCUCCUGCUUUUUUUAACUUCUCUCCCAGGAAUUUCUCUUAGGCAGACUUUUCUUCCAUUAUUCAGACUCAAAUCACUUUUCACCACUGUUUUUUCCACAUCAAAGCCUGUAGCCUCACCCCCUUUGCACUUAGGCCUCCCAAAAGCCUGGAAAGCUUCUGAGGAAGCUGGUCUCUGUGGAGCUGGGGCAAUGAGCUGGGGUGGCUGAACACGUUCCUGUUAUUGAAAGCAAACAGACCUGUCCGCGCUUUUCAUUCCCUCACCCCAGGGAUUUGGCUGGGCUAUCUCCCUGCCAGUUCACUGUUUUCCCUGUCUGACAGUGUUUGCUGUGGGCAGUCAUGCUUGGCCAGAGGAUAUGCUCCAUGGCUCUGCUCAGGCAAGCCUGUCUCCCACAUGUUCGGGGUAUGUUGUGUGAAGAAUAUCAGACCUCUGCUGGAGCUACUGGGUGGCUCCCUGAGAGAGAUGCUGGGAGUCAGCACAGGCACACCCUGCAGUGCCCACUGUGGGCUGUAGUGAUGCCACAGCCUCCCUUCUGGGCUGUAAAGGUUUUGCAAACAGCCCUUCUGUGUGGUUCUCUGUGCAGCACAUCUGGCUUGCUGUAUUCCAGAGACAUUGCUGGGCACUACCCUCGCCUCACCUGAGAGCUUUGGAGGCCCAGUGACAUGUGUUACACUUGUCUGAGAGCUCAGCAGUGACCUCUUUGUGAUGCUGGCUGAUCUCUCCAGGGCUGGAUCUGUUUCUCUCAAUAAUUUCGCUUGCACUCUGGAAUCCCACAAGCAGCUCUUGUUUUUAAUCAGGGGCUCCAUAAUGUCUCCAAAGAUAUGUGUAGUGUCAGAGAUCUUACAUCUGAAACAUAAGGCUCAAUUACCUCAUAUUUUUAUUUUUGGUUUUGAGCACAAUUACUGAGUCCCUCUACAGUCUUAUUGUGUCCAGGUCAGGUCUUCAAAUAACUUUCUUGAUGGUUCAAUUGCUCCAUGUAUUAUUUUGAAAAUAAUAAGUGACUCUCUCAAGCCAUUUCUUGUCCUUUUUGUGCAGUGAGACAGUGAAAAGUUUUACUUCCAUGUUUUCUCACUCUUUCAUGGCCAACUACACGUAUCAAUUCCCUGCUCAUGUAAACACUUCAAACUGGCUUUUUGAGCUCUCAGUGGCUCAAGUCCCUUCUGGCAGUUCAUCUGCUCCAUUCCCAGAGUGUCUUUUUGUGUUUACUGCACUGGCUGAUGACAUAAACUCUGUCCCACCUCUCAGAAAGGGACAGUUUAUCUCCAGCUGCAGCUCAUCCCUUUGGAACAGCACUGAUACUGAUGUUAAUGAGAGAAAUCCUGUUUGAGUCUGUAGCAAACAUCCCUCAGGUAGCUGCAGCAAAUGAGGAAAUAUUUAAAGGUGAGCUAUGUCCUAAUAUCAUCUGUUGGAAAGGACUUUAUGUUUCAUAUAUUUCAUGUUAUUGCUCUGAAAGACUAAACGCAGGAGCACAUUUCCAAUUGAAAUGCUUGUGGAAAUUAAAUCCAUGUUUAAAUGAAUUUGAAACUUUUAAUGCAAAAUUGAGCACUUAGAAAUUUUGCAUCAACUCCAACUUAAUUAAAAUUAAUAAGGUUUCAGAGAGUUUUAGUUGGGAUAGAUGAAGAAAGAAUUUGGCCUUAAAUGUGUAAUUAAAAUACAAUUACAUUGGAAGGAAGUAAUUACUGAGGUUGUACCUCAAAAGCAUACCUAAUGGGCUAUCAGGAGAAAAGGUUUAUGUGUUUGGUUCACCAGCUAUAUAAGAUAUAAAAGGAUGUAGUCACUGAAAGAGAGAGAUAUUUGCAAGAUCAUUUAGGUAGAUAGUAGCAGCUCUUUUAUGGUCAAAUCAUUCUGGCUAUGUUUAGGAAGGGGACCACUUCAUCUUAGUUUGGGGUGCACAAGCACCUCCAUAAGUUUUCCUUCUGACGCAUUCAAUUGUUUCCCAGCCCUCUCAUGGGCUGUGAGAGAAGGAAGUGUUCUCCAACCAGUGUCAGACAUCUCUGGAUGAGGAAAAAGUUAGUGCUGAAAGACCUCAGCUGUCUGAUUUUAGGAACUCUUUGACAAAGGACUUCUCAAAGUGAAGGACCUAAUCUGACCCUGGUUAAAACCAUGGAAGGAAUGUGGAAUCUCUUGGUCCCUGCACCAGUCUGUAUGAAGCCCUGAGCAUAGAACCAGAACUGUGGUGUCAGUUUUGCAUAAACUUAAACUUGGUGGUUUUUUUACAUUGUUGCCCUGGCACACCUAUGAAAAAUGAUUUAAUAAAUAUGACAUUCCACAACAAGCACAAAACAGACAGCUUUGGGAGUUAGAGCUGAAGUGUGAGCAUUAAAAGUGAAGCCACUUUGUACUCUGUGGAGACAGAACAAUCCAUCAUGCGUUUGAUUUGUUUUGUUUGGAUUUUUUUUUGGGGGGGGAGGGAUGUAAUGUGAUAGGUUUUGGUUUUGGAGUCAGUGGUGAGGUUUCUGUUGGCUAUACUGAAGUUUGGAUUAGGUUCAUGGAAAUAAAUGAAUUCCAUUUUAUCAUAAACAAGAUAGAUAGUCAAAGAAACAAGAUAGAUAGUCAAAGAUGCAAGGUUCAUAGGCCCAUUUGGAUCAGCUCCUUUCCAAAGGUUCAGAGUCAUUGAUUGCAUCGAAUGGCCUGGAACACCUGGGUGUAACCUUGAGUUUAAAUCACAUCAAGAUGAUUUGAUUGUAAGUUCUUGAUUUAUACUUGUUUCUUCACAUAACUCUGUGAGGUGUUAAAAUGUGAUUUUUACAAGUUCAGUGUGUUUUGUAGAAUUGUGGGAGGGGAAAUGUGUGGUGUCCCCUGUGGUACAGUAUCAAACACAGUGCAAGUAGCCUGAUGUUUUAAUCAACAGAUACAUGCCCUUGGCAAAGAAGUGAUUUUAGCACUUAGUGAAAUGCACUCUGCUGAACUGUUGACAUUCAGUUCACAGUCAAACUUUUAUUGGUGAAGAGAAACACACCCUUUGUAUUGAAGAUUUAGCUCAGUAAAAUAAAAUCUGGUGACAGAAAUUUCUCUCCACCCUUACAUUCCCUGCAGCAAUGCUUGUUACAUGGAUAAGAAACAUGUAGAGCUUGACUUAGCCUUUUUUACACCCAAACCAGAUGUCUUCAGUAAUACUCAACCAGGAUAUUUUUCAACUUUUUAAAAUUUUUAUUUUAAUUAUUUCUAUUUUUAAUGCAAUACUGAAGAUGUGGGAUUGUCAGUGUUGUGGUACUUCAUCACCUAAAAUUGUUUCCACAUUAGAGCUCCCAAAGAAGCCUGAGAAGGGGUGUUUGAUAUAUGACAUUAUCAGCACUUGUCAACAGUGCAGGACUGAGUGAACUCAGCCUGCUGUGGCUGCAAUAGCACAAGCACUUCCUUCCCUUAAAUAGUUUCUUUCUCUUCCCCCAGGUCUUGUAGCAGCUCACACCUGAAAAAGCAGCCUUUAUAUCUUCCUCAAGCUAAUUAAAUUCAGAUUCAAGCAGAGGAGCAAUAUUGCUAAGUGUCCUUUUGUUAACUUGCUGGUCUCUGAAGAUUCUCACAUUUCAACCUAAGUGGCAGCAGAGUUCUCAGCCAUGGAAACCACAUCUGGAGAAAUCCCACCUCUCAAAAUCACAGAGCUCUUAAGGAUUUACAUGGGAUGACAUUAACUACUAGGGUCAAAUAAAUGUACUGAAAACAUACUCCCAAUCACAAAGGUCACUGAAAAGCCACUCAGGUUUGGCUUAUGCUGAGUUCUGCCUUUUUGUACCCAUACGAAACAUUUUUUAAUGCUUUCCAGAGGAUAAAUUCGUCAAAGCAACUAAUGGCCUGAAGUACACUGCUGAAGCAGGGAAAGACUGUUGCUUAUGUCCACACAGCAUCAAUAUCAGCAUAUUUUCAGUGUGACUUACCUCCUGCAAUCUUCCCCCAGAGGCACUGGUGGAGCAGGUGCUGUCAAAUGGAGAGCAUCAUGAUGGCUGAGCCCUGUUGAAAGUGUCCAGAGGCUGGAUGGAGCUUAUUCACCUGUAUUUUACACCAAGUUUGGAACAAUGUGGUUUAAUUGAUAUGCUGGUUUUCAGCCAAAUCUUGGACUCAAUGAUCUUGGAGGUCAUUUCCAACCCUAAUGAUUCUAUGAAUAUAGGUAUUCACUGACAGACAUCUGUGCCAUUCAGUUUACAGGAUUGUCCAAGUGCUAGAGAUUUAUAUUUUGUAUCCUUUACAAAAUUAAAAGACAUCUUUAGUCUAAGUGUUUAAUUUGUAACCCCUGUAACAAGACUGUAUGAGUUAUGUCCAAGAAUAUCAGGAUUAGGCAACAGUUUUGCACAGGGAUGUGGGAUAAUGCUUACUUCCUUUUUUCCUUUUUUUCUUUUACUCAUUAAAGGUGAAACACAAAUCUGUGCAUUUUUAAGCAGCUCUCUGAAAUUUCAUGUCUUUAUAAUUACAAUCUAUCGUACUGAAAACGAAAUCUGAAAUUAGACAUAAAAAUCACAAUAUUACCAGUCCUGGA